UGGGUGGUAUAUUUCAUCUAAAGCUAAAUAUUGGCCAGAGACCGAUAGCGCACAAGUAGAGUGAUCGAAAGAUGAAAAGCACUUUGGAAAGAGAGUUAAACAGUACGUGAAAUUGUUGAAAGGGAAGCGCUUGCAAUCAGACUUGCGCUCGGUGUUCAUCAGGGCUUCUGCCCUGUGUACUUCACCGAGCUCAGGCCAGCAUCAGUUUGGGUGGUUAGAUAAAGGCCUCGAGAAUGUGGCCCUCUUCGGGGGGUGUUAUAGCUCGAGGUGCCAUGUAGCCUACCCGGACUGAGGACCGCGCUUCGGCUAGGAUGCUGG
rnacentral:rRNA from 1 species